CAGUCGCCGCGGGAAUACAGAGGGUGCGAGCGUUAAUCGGAUUUACUGGGCGUAAAGCGUGCGUAGGUGGUGGUUUAAGUCCGUUGUGAAAGCCCUGGGCUCAACCUGGGAAUUGCAGUGGAUACUGGGUCACUAGAGUGUGGUAGAGGAUAGUGGAAUUUCCGGUGUAGCAGUGAAAUGCGUAGAGAUCGGAAGGAACAUCUGUGGCGAAGGCGACUAUCUGGGCCAACACUGACACUGAGGCACGAAAGCGUGGGGAGCAAACAGGAUUAGAUACCCCUGUAGUCCCUGUCUCUUAUAC
rnacentral:rRNA from 1 species